rnacentral:lncRNA from 1 species
GGUGCCCGAGGAGGGGGGCGAGGAAACUCGGGGGUCCUGAUGCCUGAGGGGGGGUCCCGGUGCACGAGGACGGUGGAAUUUGGGGGUCCCGGUGCUCGGGGGGGGUCCCGGUGGACGCCCGAGGGCGGCGUGUGACACAGAGAGAGACCCCGGUGACACCAGGGACCCGCACAGGGGGGCUGAGCCGGUCCUGGUGACACUCGGGGGGCUCUUGGUGGCACUCCAGGAGCUGGUGGCACUCCAGGAGAUGGUGGCCCCCGAGGAGAUGGUGGCACUCCAGGAGAUGGUGGCACUCGAGGAGAUGGUGGCACUCCAGGAGAUGGUGGCACUCCAGGAGAUGGUGGCACUCCAGGAGAUGGUGGCACCUGAGGAGAUGGUGGCACUCGAGAUGGUGGCACUCCAGGAGAUGGUGGCACUCCAGGAGAUGGUGGCACCCGAGGAGAUGGUGGCACUCCAGGAGCUGGUGACACUCAAGGAGAUGGUGGCACUCACUCGAGGAGCUGGUGGCACCCGAGAUGGUGGCACUCGCUCAAGGAGAUGGUGGCACCCGAGGAGAUGGUGGCACUCACUCAAGGAGAUGGUGGCACCCAAGAUGGUGGCACUCGCUCAAGGAGCUGGUGGCACUCCAGGAGCUGGUGGCACUCACUCCAGGAGCUGGUGGCACUCAAGGAGAUGGUGGCACCCGAGGAGAUGGUGGCACUCACUCAAGGAGAUGGUGGCACUCGCUCAAGGAGGUGGUGGCACUCGCUCAAGGAGGUGGUGGCCCUCGCUCAAGGAGGUGGUGGCCCUCGCUCAAGGAGACGGUGGCACUCAAGGAGCUGGUGGCACCCGAGGAGAUGGUGGCACUCGCUCAAGGAGAUGGUGGCACUCCAGGAGCUGGUGGCACUCACUCAAGGAGAUGGUGGCACUCAAGGAGAUGGUGGCACUCCAGGAGCUGGUGGCACUCGCUCAAGGAGCUGGUGGCCCUCGCUCAAGGAGAUGGUGGCACUCAAGGAGAUGGUGGCACUCACUCAAGGAGCUGGUGGCACUCGAGGAGAUGGUGGCACUCCAGGAGCUGGUGGCACCCGAGGAGAUGGUGGCACUCCAGGAGCUGGUGGCACCCGAGGAGCUGGUGGCACCCGAGGGGCUCUUGCUCGAAGCCCCCCACCCCGUUCCUCUUGGUGACACGAGGACGUGGUGGCACUCGGGACCCUCGCGAGGGCUGCGCCGGUCCCGCUGCCACUCGGAGCCCCCCAAAUUUCCUCUGGGUGCCACAAGGAGCCCUCGGUGCGGAGCUGGUGACACUCCAGGGG